rnacentral:rRNA from 1 species
UACGUAGGGGGCAAGCGUUGUCCGGAUUUAUUGGGCGUAAAGAGCGUGUAGGCGGCCAGGGAGGUCCGUUGUGAAAACUCGAGGCUCAACCUCGAGACGCCGAUGGAAACCCCCUGGCUAGAGUCCGGAAGAGGAGAAUGGAAUUCCUGGUGUAGCGGUGAAAUGCGCAGAUAUCAGGAAGAACACCCGUGGCUAAGGCGGUUCUCUAGUACGGUACUGACGCUGAGACGCGAAAGCGUGGGGAGCAAACAGG